GUAAAUAUAUUUUUUAAAAAAACAUUAGAUUGUGAAUCUAAUAAUAGAAGUUUACUACCUUCUUAUUUACC
rnacentral:tRNA from 1 species